rnacentral:rRNA from 1 species
GACCUCCGCAAUGCGAGCAAUCGCGACGGGGGGACCCCAAGUGCUACUUUAACGGGGUAGCUUUUCUAAAGUGCUUUUGGAUAAGGGCUGGCAAGACCGGUGCCAGCCGCCGCGGUAACACCGGCAGCUCUAGUGGUAGCCAUUUUUAUUGGGCCUAAAGCGUUCGUAGCCGGUUUGAUAAGUCUCUGGUGAAAUCCUAUAGCUUAACUGUGGGAAUGCUGGAGAUACUAUCAGGCUUGAGGUCGGGAGAGGUUAGGGGUACUCCCAGGGUAGGGUGAAAUCCUAUAAUCCUGGGAGGACCACCUGUGGCGAAGGCGGCUAACUGGAACGACCUGACGGUGAGGGACGAAAGCCAGGGGG